rnacentral:rRNA from 1 species
AUGUGGGAUUUCUAAGACAACUAGGAUGUUGGCUUAGAAGCAGCCACUCAUUUAAAGAGUGCGUAAUAGCUCACUAGUCGAGAGAUCCUGCGCCGAAGAUGUAACGGGGCUCAAACUUACCACCGAAGCUAUGGAUGUGUACUAUGUACACGUGGUAGAGGAGCUUUCUGUACAGGUUGAAGUCAUACCGUAAGGAGUGGUGGACAGUACAGAAGUGAGAAUGCUGGCAUAAGUAGCGAAAAACAAGUGAGAAUCUUGUUGACCGAAUAUCUAAGGUUUCCUGGGGAAGGCUCGUCCUCCCAGGGUUAGUCGGGACCUAAGCCGAGGCCGAAAGGCGUAGGUGAUGGACAACUGGUUGAUAUUCCAGUACCACCAUAAUGCGUUUGACAAAUGGGAUGACGCAGGAGGAUAGGAUGUGCGCACUAUUGGAUGUGCGGCUAAGCACUUAGGGUGUUAAGUAGGCAAAUCCGCUUAACAUUAAGCCUGAGGUGUGAUGGGGAGCCUAUUUUGGCGAAGUAUCUGAUUCCACGCUGCCAAGAAAAGUCUCUAUGGAGCAAAAUGGUGCCCGUACCGCAAACCGACACAGGUAGAUGAGGAGAGAAUCCUAAGGUCGUCGGAAGAAUUAUUGCUAAGGAACUCGGCAAAUUGACCCCGUAACUUAGGGAGAAGGGGUGCCUACGAGAGUAGGCCGCAGUGAAUAGGC